rnacentral:rRNA from 1 species
ACGAACGCUGGCGGCGUGCUUCACACAUGCAAGUCGAACGAAAAGAGGGAAAGAGCUUGCUCUUUCCGGAAUUGAGUGGCAAACGGGUGAGUAACACGUAAACAACCUGCCUUCAGGAUGGGGACAACAGACGGAAACGACUGCUAAUACCGAAUAAGUUCCAAGAGCCGCAUGGCCCAUGGAAGAAAAGGUGGCCUCUACCUGUAAGCUAUCGCCUGAAGAGGGGUUUGCGUCUGAUUAGCUGGUUGGAGGGGUAACGGCCCACCAAGGCGACGAUCAGUAGCCGGUCGGAGAGGAUGAACGGCCACACUGGAACUGAGACACGGUCCAGACUCCUACGGGAGGAAGCAGUGGGGAAUCUUCCGCAAGGGGCGAAAGCCUGACGGAGCAACGCCGCGUGAGUGAUGACGGCCUUCGGGUUGUAAAACUCUGUGAUCCGGGACGAAAAGGCAGAGUGCGAAGAACAAACUGCAUUGACGGUACCGGAAAAGCAAGCCACGGCUAACUACGUG